rnacentral:rRNA from 1 species
GGUUGUCGUCGGCUCGUGUCGUGAGAUGUUGGUUAAGUCCCGCAACGAGCGCAACCCUUGUCUUCAGUUACCAGCAUUGAGUUGGGGACUCUGGAGAGACUGCCGGUGACAAACCGGAGGAAGGUGGGGAUGACGUCAAAUCAUCAUGCCCCUUAUGACCUGGGCUACACACGUACUACAAUGGCGUAUACAACGGGAAGCGAAGUGGUGACACGGAGCAAAUCUCACAAAGUACGUCUCAGUUCAGAUUGGAGUCUGCAACUCGACUCCAUGAAGGCGGAAUCGCUAGUAAUCGCGGAUCAGCAUGCCGCGGUGAAUACGUUCUCGGGGUUU